GCGGAGGGCCGGAUGGCCGCGGCACCCCGCAAGGGGCGUCGAGGAAAGUCCGGACUCCACAAGACAACGGUGCCGGGUAACGCCCGGCCGGGGAAACCCGAGGGAAAGCGCCACAGAAAAGAGACCGCCCGACCAUUGUGGCCGGGUAAGGGUGAAACGGUGGGGUAAGAGCCCACCGCGGGACGGGCAACCGGACCGGCACGGCAAGCCCCACCGGGAGCAAUGCCAAAUAGGGACCGCACGCGGGGACCGGUCGGGCAACCGAAACCGCCCGCAGGCACGUCUUGGCCCGGCGGUCCGGGUUGGCAGCUUGAGGCGCGCGGGCAACCACGCGUCCAGAUGAAUGGUCAUCCAAGGGGGCAACCCCUGGACAGAAUCCGGCUUACAGGCCCUCCGCGCAC
rfam:Roseovarius tolerans strain EL-164 ROTO_contig000024, whole genome shotgun sequence.